rnacentral:rRNA from 1 species
UACGGGGGGAGCAAGCGUUGUUCGGAUUUACUGGGCGUAAAGGGCGCAUAGGCGGCCACCGCAAGUCGACUGUGAAAUCUCCGGGCUUAACCCGGAAAGGUCAGCCGAUACUGCGGGGCUAGAGUGCAGAAGGGGCAACUGGAAUUCUCGGUGUAGCGGUGAAAUGCGUAGAUAUCGAGAGGAACACCUGCGGCGAAGGCGGGUUGCUGGGCUGACACUGACGCUGAGGCGCGAAAGCUAGGGGAGCGAACGGG